rnacentral:rRNA from 1 species
AAUAGAUACCCAGGUAGUCCAUGCCGUAAACGAUGAGUACUAGCUGUCUGGGGUAUCGACUCCCUGGGUAGCGCAGCUAACGCGAUAAGUACUCCGCCUGGGGACUACGGCCGCAAGGCUAAAACUCAAAGGAAUUGACGGGGGCCCGCACAAGCAGCGGAGCGUGCGGUUUAAUUCGAAGCUACGCGAAGAACCUUACCAGGGCUUGACAUGACCCUGACCGCCGGUGAAAGCCGGUUUCCCUUCGGGGCAGGGCCACAGAUGCUGCAUGGCUGCCGUCAGCUCGUGCCGUGAGGUGUUGGGUUAAGUCCCGCAACGAGCGCAACCCUCGUCGUGUGUUGGAUUUCUCACACGAGACUGCCCGGAGCAACCGGGAGGAAGGCGGGGAUGACGUCAAGUCAGCAUGGCUCUUACGUCCUGGGCUACUCGCACGCUACAAUGGGCAGUACAGACCGUUGCGAUACCGCGAGGUGGAGCUAAUCGGACAAAACUGUCCUCAGUACGGAUUGCAGGCUGCAACUCG